GAUGAACGCUGGCGGCGUGCCUAAUACAUGCAAGUCGAGCGAACAGACGAGGAGCUUGCUCCUCUGACGUUAGCGGCGGACGGGUGAGUAACACGUGGAUAACCUACCUAUAAGACUGGGAUAACUUCGGGAAACCGGAGCUAAUACCGGAUAAUAUAUUGAACCGCAUGGUUCAAUAGUGAAAGACGGUUUUGCUGUCACUUAUAGAUGGAUCCGCGCCGCAUUAGCUAGUUGGUAAGGUAACGGCUUACCAAGGCAACGAUGCGUAGCCGACCUGAGAGGGUGAUCGGCCACACUGGAACUGAGACACGGUCCAGACUCCUACGGGAGGCAGCAGUAGGGAAUCUUCCGCAAUGGGCGAAAGCCUGACGGAGCAACGCCGCGUGAGUGAUGAAGGUCUUCGGAUCGUAAAACUCUGUUAUUAGGGAAGUACAAAUGUGUAAGUAACUAUGCACGUCUUGACGGUACCUAAUCAGAAAGCCACGGCUAACUACAUG
rnacentral:rRNA from 1 species